rnacentral:rRNA from 1 species
GAUUAAGCCAUGCAUGUGUAAGUGUAAAUGUUUUAGUUUGGAACUGCGAAUGGCUCAUUAUAUCAGUUAUAGUUUAUUUGGUGAAUUGUACUACUUGGAUAACCGUAGUAAUUCUAGGGCUAAUACAUGAGAAAGUCCUCUUAGGAGGUGUGUUUAUUAGAAUGAAAACCAUAUGCUUCGGCAUGAUAGUGAGUAAUAGUAACCUAUCGUAUCGCAUGCUUAAGUAGCGAUGAGUCUUUCAAGUUUCUGCCCUAUCAGCUUUCGAUGGUAGUAUAUGGGCCUACCAUG